rnacentral:rRNA from 2 species
UAGAGACGCUGGCGGCGUGCCUAAUACAUGCAAGUCGAACGAACUCUGGUAUUGAUUGGUGCUUGCAUCAUGAUUUACAUUUGAGUGAGUGGCGAACUGGUGAGUAACACGUGGGAAACCUGCCCAGAAGCGGGGGAUAACACCUGGAAACAGAUGCUAAUACCGCAUAACAACUUGGACCGCAUGGUCCGAGCUUGAAAGAUGGCUUCGGCUAUCACUUUUGGAUGGUCCCGCGGCGUAUUAGCUAGAUGGUGGGGUAACGGCUCACCAUGGCAAUGAUACGUAGCCGACCUGAGAGGGUAAUCGGCCACAUUGGGACUGAGACACGGCCCAAACUCCUACGGGAGGCAGCAGUAGGGAAUCUUCCACAAUGGACGAAAGUCUGAUGGAGCAACGCCGCGUGAGUGAAGAAGGGUUUCGGCUCGUAAAACUCUGUUGUUAAAGAAGAACAUAUCUGAGAGUAACUGUUCAGGUAUUGACGGUAUUUAACCAGAAAGCCACGGCUAACUACGUGCCAGCAGCCGCGGUAAUACGUAGGUGGCAAGCGUUGUCCGGAUUUAUUGGGCGUAAAGCGAGCGCAGGCGGUUUUUUAAGUCUGAUGUGAAAGCCUUCGGCUCAACCGAAGAAGUGCAUCGGAAACUGGGAAACUUGAGUGCAGAAGAGGACAGUGGAACUCCAUGUGUAGCGGUGAAAUGCGUAGAUAUAUGGAAGAACACCAGUGGCGAAGGCGGCUGUCUGGUCUGUAACUGACGCUGAGGCUCGAAAGUAUGGGUAGCAAACAGGAUUAGAUACCCUGGUAGUCCAUACCGUAAACGAUGAAUGCUAAGUGUUGGAGGGUUUCCGCCCUUCAGUGCUGCAGCUAACGCAUUAAGCAUUCCGCCUGGGGAGUACGGCCGCAAGGCUGAAACUCAAAGGAAAUUGACGGGGGCCCGCACAAGCGGUGGAGCAUGUGGUUUAAUUUCGAAGCUACGCGAAGAACCUUUACCAGGUCUUGACAUACUUAUGCAAAUCUAAGAGAUUAGACGUUUCCCUUCGGGGACAUGGAUACAGGUGGUGCAUGGUUGUCGUCAGCUCGUGUCGUGAGAUGUUGGGUUAAGUCCCGCAACGAGCGCAACCCUUAUUAUCAGUUGCCAGCAUUAAGUUGGGCACUCUGGUGAGACUGCCGGUGACAAACCGGAGGAAGGUGGGGAUGACGUCAAAUCAUCAUGCCCCUUAUGACCUGGGCUACACACGUGCUACAAUGGAUGGUACAACGAGUUGCGAACUCGCGAGAGUAAGCUAAUCUCUUAAAGCCAUUCUCAGUUCGGAUUGUAGGCUGCAACUCGCCUACAUGAAGUCGGAAUCGCUAGUAAUCGCGGAUCAGCAUGCCGCGGUGAAUACGUUCCCGGGCCUUGUACACACCGCCCGUCACACCAUGAGAGUUUGUAACACCCAAAGUCGGUGGGGUAACCUUUUAGGAACCAGCCGCCUAAGGUGGGACAGAUGAUUAGGGGAAGUCGAG